UUCAAGCAAUGGAUAAACUGGUUACAAAAGAAUAUAUGAGCCUUCAUUGAGACCCUGAUCUGUCAGUGAACUAAGCUACGUAUUUGAUAGUUGGAUGUGUGUUUCCAUAAGCCUACAGUUAUGCAAGAACAGCAGCCUGUGAGCCUCCCAGCAGCCCACUACCAGUGUAAAAGAUGGAAGGGAGACCAGCAGUAACUGCAGAGACCACCGGCAAGCAUAGGGCAGGUUCAUCCACAUCUGUAAUUAAACAUCAUUUUGGCAUAAUGGACAUUUGAAAGGUCAGUGAUAACAAAUGUAUGAUGAAAACGGACAACAGCAAC